rnacentral:rRNA from 1 species
UACGGAGGGUGCAAGCGUUAAUCGGAAUUACUGGGCGUAAAGCGCACGCAGGCGGUCUGUUAAGUCAGAUGUGAAAUCCCCGGGCUUAACCUGGGAACUGCAUUUGAAACUGGCAGGCUUGAGUCUUGUAGAGGGGGGUAGAAUUCCAGGUGUAGCGGUGAAAUGCGUAGAGAUCUGGAGGAACACCGGUGGUGUAGACGGCUCUCUGGACCGUAACUGACGCUGAGGCACGAAAGCGUGGGUAGCAAACAGGG